AGCUUGUGAAGAUUGCUCUAUGGGGAGGUCAGAGAGAAGAAACCUCAUCACCAGGUUUUACAGAGGCCUGCUGGGUCACCUACCUGUUUCAUAGUAAUCAUAUAUAUGUACAGGCACUGGUUUGAUGUCUGAGACAGCCAGGCUUUGCUCCACACCAAAGGAGAAGCUGAUUUCCUUCUGAGAGACCUGGAAAUGGCGAGACAAGAAGAUGCAUCAGAACUUUUCAUAGCCAUCCCUGAGGCUGAGGUUGAACAGAUUCAUUUCUGAAUCAGACUGUGUGACAGUGUGCCAUUCUACAUCUCCCUCCAGUUUCUAAACUUGAUGUUAAAUCAGAUAAUUGUUUAAAGGCUGUUGCUAAAUAUGUUUUGUUGCUAAAAUUGUGUGCUCUUUUCUUUCUUCCUCUUCCUAUUUCCAUUGCCAAUUACCCCAACUUAAUUCCGUCAGUGUGGUUUUCAGCACAUCAGCAUUCAUUCUGCAAUCAAAAAUUGCUGUUAGUUUCUUUCUUUGCCUUUUCCCAGCUAAAAGCACCUUCAGUACCCCUAAGAAUCUUCUCCCUACUUUUCUCCCUUUAAUUACUUUGAUGGCAAUAUCUCCAUUAUCCCCUGUGAUGUUGGAUUGAAUAAAGUACCUCUUUAAGGCA